rnacentral:rRNA from 1 species
AUCCUGGCUCAGGAUGAACGCUAGCGACAGGCUUAACACAUGCAAGUCGAGGGGCAGCAUGAGACGGAGAUUCGUCGAAGUCUUGAUAGCGACCGGCGCAAGGGUGCGUAACGCGUGAGCAACUUGCCCGUUUCAGGGGGAUAACCGGUGGAAACGCCGACUAAUACCCCAUAGUAUAACGAAGAGGCAUCUUUUUGUUAUUAAAGAGUUUCGGAAACGGAUAGGCUCGCGUGACAUUAGCUAGAUGGCGGGGUAACGGCCCACCAUGGCGACGAUGUCUAGGGGUUCUGAGAGGAAGGUCCCCCACACUGGAACUGAGACACGGUCCAGACUCCUACGGGAGGCAGCAGUGAGGAAUAUUGGUCAAUGGUCUGACGACUGAACCAGCCAUGCCGCGUGAAGGUGACGGCCCUAUGGGUCUUAAACUUCUUUUGUAAGGGAGCAAUAAGUCUCACGUGUGGGAUGAUGAGAGUACCUUACGAAUAAGCAUCGGCUAACUCCGUG